UAUUAUCGAUUUUAAUCCGUGGGGCCCUCCUACUGAUCCUCUGCUUUUUACUUGGGAGGCCCUUAAUAAUGAAUCUUUCCCGUUUUGCAUGGCUGGGGACAAGAACGUUUCGUUGUAUGUUCAAAAAGGAAGUGUAACUCUUGCUGUGAAGAUUAUGAAUGAAUACACAGGACUGGGACCCUCGGCAUUAUACUUGUCCAGUCGACGCCCUUGGGAAGUUCCUUACCCUCUCACAACGGAAAACAUAGAAAGAGUAGUCAAGCUAUGCCAGGAACAAAAUGAAGACACUGA